rnacentral:rRNA from 1 species
UCCGAGUGAACGAACCUGUUGUUGCAGUUAAAGAGCUCGUAGUCGUCGAGUGGGUUGGUUGUUUUUGUUGGGACGUGUUUGCGGGUGUGCUGCCUUUCUGGCGGCGCGUCUGCAGCGUCCCUGCCAGCCCUCGUUCGCUCUUUGUUGGGCGAACAGGCACCUUGAUUAAAUCGAACUGCUCAGAGGGGUCGGUAUGACCACACAUGCAGCUCGGAACGCCGCAAUGCCGUUGGCGGUUAGCUUGUUCCUUGCGUUUCGGCGUGGGGUGCGGGUCCGCCGACGCUCGCAUGCGUGACAAGAGCGGAAGGGGCGGGCGAGAUUGCUGAGACAGCGGUGAAAUGCUCGGACCUCAGCAGGAUCGACGACAGCGAAGGCAGCCCGCAAAGACGUGUCUGUUGA